CUGCAUGAGUUGCAUCUUGCUGUAAAUAUGGACGAACAGUGAACUGAUGGAAACUAGGUGAGAGUGUUCUUUAAGUCUUGAACGCUCACAACGGGACUGUCACAUAGUU
rfam:Triticum aestivum genome assembly, contig: Triticum_aestivum_CS42_TGACv1_scaffold_147339_2BS